GAUGAACGCUAGCGGCAGGCCUAAUACAUGCAAGUCGAACGAGAUUAAGGAGCUUGCUUCUUAUGAAAGUGGCGCACGGGUGCGUAACGCGUAUGCAACCUACCUUAAUCAGGGGGAUAGCCCGAAGAAAUUCGGAUUAACACCGCAUAAAAACACAGGAUAGCAUUAUCCAAUGUUCAAAUAUUUAUAGGAUUAAGAUGGGCAUGCGUGUCAUUAGCUAGUUGGCGGGGUAACGGCCCACCAAGGCGACGAUGACUAGGGGAUCUGAGAGGAUGACCCCCCACACUGGUACUGAGACACGGACCAGACUCCUACGGGAGGCAGCAGUAAGGAAUAUUGGUCAAUGGAGGCAACUCUGAACCAGCCAUGCCGCGUGCAGGAAGACUGCCCUAUGGGUUGUAAACUGCUUUUAUCCGGGAAUAAACCUUUUUACGUGUAAGAAGCUGAAUGUACCGGAAGAAUAAGGAUCGGCUAACUCCGUGCCAGCCGCCGCCGUAAGAC
rnacentral:rRNA from 1 species